rnacentral:rRNA from 1 species
UACGGAGGAUGCGAGCGUUAUCCGGAUUUAUUGGGUUUAAAGAGUGCGUAGGCGGACUGUCAAGUCAGCGGUAAAAUUGAGAGGCUCAACCUCUUCCCGCCGUUGAAACUGGUGGUCUUGAGUGGAUGAGAAGUACGCGGAAUGCGUGGUGUAGCGGUGAAAUGCAUAGAUAUCACGCAGAACUCCGAUUGCGAAGGCAGCGUACCGGCAUCCAACUGACGCUGAGGCACGAAAGCGUGGGGAUCAAACAGG